UCUCUUUGUUGGAAGCCGGUUGAUUUCCCCUGCCUGCAUCUGUCAAUUAAACAUUCAGCAUCGCAACCAGAGUCCAACGGUGGAUGUUUUGGAGUGAAAAACCUCUUGGAGGCGGCCUGUGCACGCCGUGCCACUUCUAAAAGCCAAGCUCCACCGGUGUGACCAAGGGAUGCUCGCGAGCGUUUCAAAGCAGCCUUUAAACCGACGCCGCUCGAGGAAAGCCGGACCCGCUGUUAUAACCGAGCAGCAAGAAAGAGCUGAGAGGGGAAAAGUUCCCCUCUUCGGCCGAUGCGGAGCGCACUGCCUCCACCUGGAGCUGCAGCGCGGAUCCACUCCUGGGGCACCCCCAACCCGUCCGGUUGUGCCUCCCACCCCCCACAAAGCCGUCCUUUACUUUGCCCUGCGAGGGGAGAACGCGGCACCGGCGGGGGGAAGCGAGGAGAUAAGUAACUAAAACAGAAACAUGGAUGCCAAAUUUAGGCUCUCCAGCUGCCUGGAGCGAGUGGAAAGAAUCAUCACAUGGGAAUGAUGCCCUGCCCAGGGCUGGCCCCAAUGCCUGGCCCUGCUCCCCUCCCCAUGCUUGGCACUGACCUGCCCCAAGGAACCCGCAGAUCCCAGCACUGGCUGCAGCCACCCCAUAUCUGCAGAUGGAAAACAAUCCCUGUUGAAGUCCCCUGGGUUAAACUCAAUUUUAAAGUGAAGAGAAAGAGGAAUAAUAAUAAUAAUUACAAUAAUAAAUGAAGAGAAAAAAAAAAAAAGAGCCUUUAUUGUACUUGAAGGGAAAGUGGGGGUUACUGAAAUUAAAGUUUUAUAUUUGCAUUUACAGGGCUCCUUAGGCUACUAAUGUUUGCGUUUUCAUAACAAAAAGAUUGUGCUGUUAAUUGAUGCAAGCAAUGGUGCACAAAUAAAUCCCAAUCUUGGAUGAUUUCUUAAGGGAACAGCCACUACAAUUCCCCAUUGUCAAGCGUGAACUGAGCAAGUCAUCAGUGCCAAAAAGCAGCCUCUGUGCCUGGGUCAAUAAAAUGCAAGAGAUUCAUUGGUAAUACUUGUUUAUUCAUAAAUGCAAUUAUUGGAUACACCACGCACCGGCCUCCCUUUUAGGGCUCAGCUUUUCCUCUCCUCUAAGACCAGUCUUGUAGUACAAAAUAGAGCAGGGUUAGGAUGCUUGCA